rnacentral:rRNA from 1 species
GACGAACGCUGGCGGCGUGCCUAAUACAUGCAAGUCGAGCGAAGUUUUUCUGGUGCUUGCACUAGAAAAACUUAGCGGCGAACGGGUGAGUAACACGUAAAGAACCUGCCUCAUAGACUGGGACAACUAUUGGAAACGAUAGCUAAUACCGGAUAACAGUAUUUCUCGCAUGAGAGAUAUUUAAAAGUUGGUUAUGCUAACACUAUGAGAUGGCUUUGCGGUGCAUUAGCUAGUUGGUGGGGUAAAGGCCCACCAAGGCGACGAUGCAUAGCCGACCUGAGAGGGUGAUCGGCCACACUGGGACUGAGACACGGCCCAGACUCCUACGGGAGGCAGCAGUAGGGAAUCUUCCGCAAUGAGCGAAAGCCUGACGGAGCAACGCCGCGUGAGUGAAGAAGGAUUUCGGUUCGUAAAGCUCUGUUGUUAGGGAAGAAUGGAUAUGUAGUAACUAUACAUGUAAGAGACGGUACCUAACCAGAAAGCCACGGCUAACUACGU